rnacentral:rRNA from 1 species
UACGUAGGGGGCAAGCGUUGUCCGGAUUUAUUGGGCGUAAAGAGCGUGUAGGCGGCCAUGUAGGUCCGUUGUGAAAACUCGAGGCUCAACCUCGAGACGUCGACCGAAACCAUCUGGCUAGAGUCCGGAAGAGGAGAGUGGAAUUCCUGGUGUAGCGGUGAAAUGCGCAGAUAUCAGGAAGAACACCCGUGGCUAAGGCGGCUCUCUAGUACGGUACUGACGCUGAGACGCGAAAGCGUGGGGAGCGAACAGG